rnacentral:rRNA from 1 species
GACGAACGCUGGCGGCGUGCUUAACACAUGCAAGUCGAACGGAAAGGCCCUGCUUUUGUGGGGUGCUCGAGUGGCGAACGGGUGAGUAACACGUGAGUAACCUGCCCUUGACUUUGGGAUAACUUCAGGAAACUGGGGCUAAUACCGGAUAGGAGCUCCUGCUGCAUGGUGGGGGUUGGAAAGUUUCGGCGGGUGGGGAUGGACUCGCGGCUUAUCAGCUUGUUGGUGGGGUAGUGGCUUACCAAGGCUUUGACGGGUAGCCGGCCUGAGAGGGUGACCGGCCACAUUGGGACUGAGAUACGGCGCAGACUCCUACGGGAGGCAGCAGUGGGGAAUAUUGCACAAUGGGCGGAAGCCUGAUGCAGCAACGCCGCGUGCGGGAUGACGGCCUUCGGGUUGUAAACCGCUUUCGCCUGUGACGAAGCGUGAGUGACGGUAAUGGGUAAAGAAGCACCGGCUAACUACGUG